rnacentral:SRP_RNA from 2 species
GCCAGGCAUGGUGGAGCUUGCCUGUAGUCCCAGCUACUCAGGAGGCUGAGAUGGGAGGAUCACUUGAGCCCAGGAGUUCGAGGCUGCAGUGAGCCGAGAUCACGCCACUGAACUCCAGCCUGGGCAACAGAGCGAGACCUUGUCUCAA